rnacentral:sRNA from 1 species
UAGUUACCGGCGGCUUCAAUGAGAGGGAUA